UACGGAGGGGGCGAGCGUUAUUCGGAAUUAUUGGGCGUAAAGGGCGCGUAGGCGGGUGCUCAAGUCCGGGGUGAAAUCCUCCAGCUCAACUGGAGAACUGCCUCGGAUACUGGGCGUCUCGAGUGUGGUAGGGGUAUGCGGAACUAUCGGUGGAGCGGUGAAAUGCGUUGAUAUCGAUAGGAACUCCGGUGGCGAAGGCGGCAUACUGGACCACCACUGACGCUGAUGCGCGAAAGCCAGGGGAGCAAACGGG
rnacentral:rRNA from 1 species